UGAGCAAUCUGCCCUUCUCAUCGGAAUAAGCGUUGGAAACGACGUCUAAUGCCGAAUACGACCUCCUUUCGCAUGAUCGGAGGUGGAAAGCUCCGGCGGAGAAGGAUGAGCUCGCGGCCUAUCAGCUAGUUGGUGUGGGUAAUGGCCCACCAAGGCGACGACGGGUAGCCGGCCUGAGAGGGUGACCGGCCACACUGGGACUGAGACACGGCCCAGACUCCUACGGGANACAG
rnacentral:rRNA from 1 species